rnacentral:rRNA from 1 species
GAUGAACGCUGGCGGCGUGCUUAACACAUGCAAGUCGAACGAAGCUGCUUAACUGAUCUUCUUCGGAAUUGAUGUUUUGUAGACUGAGUGGCGGACGGGUGAGUAACGCGUGGGUAACCUACCCUGUACAGGGGGAUAACAGUCAGAAAUGACUGCUAAUACCGCAUAAGACCACAGCACCGCAUGGUGCAGGGGUAAAAGCUCCGGUGGUACAGGAUGGACCCGCGUCUGAUUAGCUGGUUGGUGAGGUAACGGCUCACCAAGGCGACGAUCAGUAGCCGGCUUGAGAGAGUGAACGGCCACAUUGGGACUGAGACACGGCCCAAACUCCUACGGGAGGCAGCAGUGGGGAAUAUUGCACAAUGGGGGAAACCCUGAUGCAGCGACGCCGCGUGAGUGAAGAAGUAUCUCGGUAUGUAAAGCUCUAUCAGCAGGGAAGAAAAUGA